CAAACUACUCAAAAUGUGAAGGUGCAAGCUUGUAGUCACCUAUUGCCUGUGAAGGGUACUCCAGCUUAUGCACAGUUUAUGUAUGGGGAUGCUGACUCUAAGUUCGCGCCAUCAGUAAAAGGAGUUGCAGCCACUGCUCAUACAGCAUGUUACUAUGUUACCUUUUAAAUCUUCCCCCCACAGAACUGAUAGUUGUAGUUACAUUUGCUAAAAUCUGAAGCAUGUGGCCUUUU